CUCUGUUUGUUUGAUAGUCCCACUGGAUAACCGUGGAAAAUCUAGAGCUAAUACAUGCACUAUGUCCAUCAGUUUUACGAUUGUUUGGAUGCAUUUAUUAGAUAUCCGAUCGCCAUUAUGGUGAAAGGUGAUUCUAGAUGACUAUUGCUGAUCGUAUGGCCUUGUGCCGACGACGCGUCAAACAAAUUCGUGCCCUAUCAACUUGUUGUUAGGAUAUUUGCCUAACAAGGUUGCAACGGGUGACGGGGAAUCAGGGUUCGAUUCCGGAGAGGGAGCAUGAGACAUAGCUACCACAUCCAAGGAAGGCAGCAGGCGCGCAAAUUACCCACUCCCGACUUGGGGAGGUAGUGACGAGUAAUAUCGGGUCGUACUCUUUUGAGUAUGAGACCGGAAUGGACGAAAUCUAGGUCCAUUCGUGAGUAACUAUUGGAGGGCAAGUCUGGUGCCAGCAGCCGCGGUAAUUCCAGCUCCAAUAGCAUAUACGAGAUUUGUUGCAGUUAAAAAGCUCGUAGUCGGAUUGUUUCACAACACUGUGAGCCUGGAAAAAAACAUCUAGGUGAAUAGUGUUGUGGUUACACACAAGCUCUUAGCAUCUACUUUAUUGUAGGUGCUAAUUUGUUUGUGGAUGUACCUUGAACAAAGUGAUUUGUUCAAAGCAGGCUUAACGCCUGAACAUUUGAGCAUGGAAUGAACGAUUGUGGCCUAAUCGUUUGGUCGGAAACGAAUAAGGUCCAGGUCAAAAGAGACAUUUGGGGGCAUCCGAACUCGGCCGCGAGAGGUGAAAUUCUAAGACCGGCCGAGGUCGAACAAAAGCGAAAGCAUUUGCCAAGAAUGUUUUCAUUGAUAAAGAACGAAAGUUGGAGGAGCAAAAACGAUCAGAUACCGUUGUAGUUCCAACUGUAAACUAUGCCGACUGUCGGGGCCAGUCAGCUACUACCGUACUUAUUGACCUCCCAGGGAAACCCAUAGUACUUGGGUUCUGGGGGGAGUACGGUCGCAAGUCUGAAACUUAAAGGAAUUGACGGAAGGGCACCACCAGGAGUGGAGCCUGCGGCUUAAUUUGACUCAACGCGGGUAAACUUACCCGGUCCGGACAUCGAUAGGAAUGACAGACUGAGAGAUCUUUCAUGAUACGAUGAAAGGUGGUGCAUGGCCGUUCUUAGUUGGUGGAGCGAUUUGUCUGGUUAAUUCCGAUAACGAACGAGACCGUAGCUUUCGUUUAGUGAACCUAAUUAGUCAUUAGGGGAUCAAUUCGAAGGGACCGACGCCUUGAGGCGGAGGAAGCACGGCAAUAACAGGUCUGUGAUGCCCUUAGAUGUCCGGGGCCGCACGCGGGCUACACUGAUGGUGGCAAAGAGUACUUAGGGAGAUAUCCUCGAGUAACCUUAUGAACCGCCUUCGUGACGGGGAUUGAGCCUUGUAAUUAUGGUUCAUGAACGAGGAAUUUCUAGUAGGCGCUGGUCAUCAUCCAGCGCCGACUAUGUCACUGCCCUUUUACGCACCG
rnacentral:rRNA from 1 species